ACCCUCUCAGGGUCACACCUGGAGAGUUUCCAGUACUCUACCAGUCUCGGUUAAGGGAGGGAAAGACAAGCUGAGGCCUAUCCAUUCCAUUCCUAGCUUGAACAGUGUCUAGCUAGUGGAAAGCAAUCUGCUACAAGU